AGUGAACGCUGGCGGUAGGCCUAACACAUGCAAGUCGAACGGCAGCACAGUAAGAGCUUGCUCUUACGGGUGGCGAGUGGCGGACGGGUGAGGAAUACAUCGGAAUCUACUUUUUCGUGGGGGAUAACGUAGGGAAACUUACGCUAAUACCGCAUACGACCUACGGGUGAAAGCAGGGGAUCUUCGGACCUUGCGCGAUUGAAUGAGCCGAUGUCGGAUUAGCUAGUUGGCGGGGUAAAGGCCCACCAAGGCGACGAUCCGUAGCUGGUCUGAGAGGAUGAUGAGGCACACUGGAACUGAGACACGGUCCAGACUCCUACGGGAGGCAGCAGUGGGGAAUAUUGGACAAUGGGCGCAAGCCUGAUCCAGCCAUACCGCGUGGGUGAAGAAGGCCUUCGGGUUGUAAAGACCUUUUGUUGGGAAAGAAAAGCAGCAGGUUAAUACCCCGCUGUUCUGACGGUACCCAAAGAAUAAGCACCGGCUAACUUCGUG
rnacentral:rRNA from 1 species